UACAGAGGGGGCAAGCGUUGUUCGGAAUUACUGGGCGUAAAGGGCGCGUAGGCGGCCUGCUAAGUCGAACGUGAAAUCCCUGGGCUCAACCCAGGAACUGCGUCCGAUACUGGUUGGCUUGAAUCCGGGAGAGGGACGUGGAAUUCCAGGUGUAGCGGUGAAAUGCGUAGAUAUCUGGAGGAACACCGGUGGCGAAGGCGACACCCUGGACCAGCACUGACACUGAGGCACGAAAGCGUGGGGAGCAAACAGG
rnacentral:rRNA from 1 species